GGGCUCCCAAUGUGUGGGGCCUGGAUACAGGGGACUCUGUGAGGAAGAUGACUCAGGUAGCCAACAUUGUAUAUAGAAAUUCCUUCGAACGCUGUGGGAGCCUGCUGCAGCCGAAACAAAGGUGAGUGAUAGUCUGAUUAUGGGACAAGUAUUAAACCAACAUGAGGUCUAUCUGAGACAGUUAAAAGGGGCAUUAAAAAUGUGAGGAGUAAAGGUAAAAACCAAUGAUUUGUUUAAUUUUUUUUUAUUUUGUUAAGGAUCUUUGCCCUU
rfam:Rattus norvegicus chromosome 17, whole genome shotgun sequence.